UACGUAGGGUGCAAGCGUUGUCCGGAAUUAUUGGGCGUAAAGGGUGCGUAGGCGGCAUGAUGAGUUAUUGGCGGCAAAUCGAGGCUCAACCUCGUGGAAACUGAUAAUACUGUCUUGCUUGAGUGCAGAAGAGGUUAACGGAACUCCAUGUGAAGCGGUAAAAUGUGUAGAUAUAUGGAAGAACAUCAAUAACGGCGAAGGCAGUUAACUAUUCUGUUACUGACGUUGAGGCACGAAAGCGUGGGGAGCAAAAAGG
rnacentral:rRNA from 1 species